GCCAAAGUGAGGAGUUUCUGGAAGGGAUUAUCUACAGAGGCUAUGAAGUCCUUUUUGGAAGGCCUAGAACAGAUUUGUGACUGCAAAACACCAGAUAUUUCUCCUGGGUUCUUAAUGGUACCAGUCUUGAUUCAAGAACAAUCUGCUUCCCCGUCGAGGGCUUUCCUCGUCUAAGCUGUCGCGCUCCAUAUCAUCCCGGAUUCGAUCAUCAAACUCAGAAUGGGACAUCAUC